UUAGUCCUUGUCGAGGGUGUCAACGUUGUACCAAUGACCGUUUGGUGAGAUACAACUAGCUGGCAACUGAAACAAAUGAUACACAUACGUGAGCCUGACGUCCUUUCGUUCGGGUUUCCAAUUUUUGGUUCA
rnacentral:ncRNA from 1 species